rnacentral:misc_RNA from 1 species
CUGAAGAAGUCUUUCAUAGACGAAACCGUGCAACGGCAGGCCCGUGUACGCGCUCCUAGACACAAGUAACGUCUACUCGACAAUCUCUCGGAGUUUAGUGAGUGCGUUCAACAUGUCCAGAGACGUCAUCCAGGACCGAACGACGCCGCCCAGUCCGCUGUCAGGUCUUGAAAGGCCAGUAAUACACGGGAAGCUCAAAUACAUGGAUGUGUCAUUAGGAAAAAGUCAACUCAACAUGCAGCUGUUUGUCGUUUCAGACACCACGCCAGAGCUGGUGCUCGGCGUGGACUUCCUCAAGAAGACGCAGACGGUGGUCAGUUUUUCCGAGUCGUGCGCAGUGGUAUCCGGGGAGAAGGUGCGCUUCGUCAGUGGUCACGAGCUAGGGGGGUUAACAAAGGGUCGGCCGCACUGACACAGCCGGCCCUCCGGCUAACCGAACCCCUCCAGCGUCCAGACCUACACGGACAAUGUCGGUACUGUCGGACUGGAAAGUGUCACAUUUAGGGACAAUUAACAGAUUCGUAAGUGCGAAUACUUCUACUAACAGCACGUGGAGCUGCUCGUGAAGUGCCCGUAGAAGUUGUCGUAGCUCCUUGGCUCGUCGGCAUAAUGCUAUGCUGAGGACACCUAAUCCAAUCGAUCCGUCUGCUGUUGCUGCUAUUCUCGGCCGAAUCAGUGCGAGGCAGUGGUGCAGCUGGGCGCCUGUGUGAUAAAUACUGAGCUAAUUUUGUAACGACUGAGCCGUGUCGGGACGCCGGUAAGAGGCUCUGGUGGAGACUUCGCGGAUCAGUAUAAUGCUGUGGGCUCAGACAAAUGAAUAAGAAU